ACGCUGGCGGCGUGCCUAAUACAUGCAAGUAGAACGCUGAGGUUUGGUGUUUACACUAGACUGAUGAGUUGCGAACGGGUGAGUAACGCGUAGGUAACCUGCCUCAUAGCGGGGGAUAACUAUUGGAAACGAUAGCUAAUACCGCAUAAGAGUAAUUAACACAUGUUGGUUAUUUAAAAGGAGCAAUUGCUUCACUGUGAGAUGGACCUGCGUUGUAUUAGCUAGUUGGUGAGGUAAAGGCUCACCAAGGCGACGAUACAUAGCCGACCUGAGAGGGUGAUCGGCCACACUGGGACUGAGACACGGCCCAGACUCCUACGGGAGGCAGCAGUAGGGAAUCUUCGGCAAUGGACGGAAGUCUGACCGAGCAACGCCGCGUGAGUGAAGAAGGUUUUCGGAUCGUAAAGCUCUGUCGUUAGAGAAGAACGUUGGUAGGAGUGGAAAAUCUACCAAGUGACGGUAACUAACCAGAAAGGGACGGCUAACUACGUGCCAGCAGCCGCGGUAAUACGUAGGUCCCGAGCGUUGUCCGGAUUUAUUGGGCGUAAAGCGAGCGCAGGCGGUUCUUUAAGUCUGAAGUUAAAGGCAGUGGCUUAACCAUUGUACGCUUUGGAAACUGGAGGACUUGAGUGCAGAAGGGGAGAGUGGAAUUCCAUGUGUAGCGGUGAAAUGCGUAGAUAUAUGGAGGAACACCGGUGGCGAAAGCGGCUCUCUGGUCUGUAACUGACGCUGAGGCUCGAAAGCGUG
rnacentral:rRNA from 1 species